rnacentral:ncRNA from 1 species
GCAUAAUACAGGUCCGUCGGUGCCCCGGAGUUGUCGAACUCGGGGGCUAAUAGGGAACACAGCAAAACUGUGGCUGCCCCCGCAAUUGUACGCAGCGAGUCCGCGCUCCACUGCCACUGGUUUUUACCGGGAAGGCCGGCGCGAACGAAGACCUGCCAGCCAAGAGACCUGCCGACUCACCGCAUUCGCG